AUGAGGAAGAUUUCCCAUGGCUUCAGGGACCCACUGGGCUUCGCUUCACUCACUGGAGUACUAGCACUUGUGCUGGUUCUGUUGGAAGUUGUGUGUGUUCCAGUUGAAAAGGGUGUACCAGAGUAUCCUGUGGUUGCAGUGGAUCCAGCUGUGCUAGUCCCACUGGAGGUUGUACUGGAUCCAGUACUGGAGGUUGUGCUUGUUUCACUGGAGGUCAUACUGGAACCAGUAUUGGCAGGUGUGCUGGUCUCACCAGAGAUUGUGCUGGUUCCAGUGUUGACAGGUGUAAUAGUCCCUCCAGAGGUCGAGCUGGAUCCAGUGUUGGAGGUUAUACUGGAACCACUGGGGGUCACGCUGGAUGCAGCGUUGGAAGUCAUGCUGGAUCCACUGCUGAAGGCUGUGCUAGAUACUCCAGAGGUCGAGCUGGAUCCAGUGUUGGAGGGUAUACUGGAACCACUGGGGGUCACACUGGAUGCAGCGUUGGAAGUCAUGCUGGAUCCACUGCUGAAGGCUGUGCUAGAUCAUCCAGAGGUCGAGCUGGAUCCAGUGUUGGAGGUUAUACUGGAACCACUGGGGGUCACGCUGGGUGCAGUGUUGGAAGUCAUGCUGGACCCACUGGGGGUCAUGUUGGAUCCAGUGCUGGAGGCUGUGCUGGAUGCAGUGUUGAAGGCUGUGCUAGUCUCAGUGGAGAUUGCCAUGGAUCUAGGGUUGGCCAUGACCACACUGGAAGUUGGGUGUGGCCCUAAAAAGACACACACACACACACAAAUUUGAGAUGGGACUAGGUAUUUGGGUAAUUAUAUAUGCAUUAAAGUUCCAGAGGCUCCUGAUCAUAAGGCAAAGGCUGGAGAAGAAUAAGUUAUAUGUAGUUUAAAUGUAAAAGACCUCCCAGGAUUUCAGGCUGCAAAUCAAGAUUAAUAGAUAUAAGGAAGCAUUUCCUCCUUCUUGAAGGCUCAGCUGGAGUUAAGGUUGUGCCUGUUUUUGGCCCUCACUACCUUAAAGGACAAAGACACUCAAUCACUCCAGAUGAACAGAAUUUAUCUCACUUGUCAUUCAUUUUCCUUUAACUGGGACACGAAUGCCUGUCGCCUUACCCCACGCAUGUGUGUUUUCCCCUCAGGAUUAUUCGAACUAACAUAGGAUUAAAAUCAAGCCCUAUUUGGGGAACCCCCCAUCUGCAAUGGGGUACAAAUUGGAGUUAAGUCAAAAUCAUGAGUAAAACUAAAUAAGAAACUGAGAUAAACAAGAAUAGGGGUGACAUGAAGGAGGGAUUGGAUUUGAUCUGAGAAGUUUUGGAGAGCAGACUGGAUGAGUCAAAAUUAUGUGAGGGCUAAUUUUGAUUCAAAAAUGAUGAAUUCUAAGUGAACAAUAGGAGACAGCCCAAGAAGUGUUUAAUAGAGUGUCAGAUGUGUUAAGACAAGUGGGAGUUAGUUUUGACUCUUGAAUCCUUUUUUCCUUCGUCUGAGGCUGACUCAGGCUGAUUGUGGAGCCAGGGUUAAGGACAGGAGAAAAAUUAAAUUUUUAGAAUAUUGAAGAGUGAGAUAUAUAUAUAUUUUUUUGUCUUUUUUUUUUUUUUUUUUUUGCUUUUUUUUUGGGCCGCUUCUGUGGCAUAUGGAGGUCCCCAGGCUAGGGGUUGAAUCGGAGCUGUAGCCGCCGGCCUACGCCAGAGCCACAGCAACGCACGAUCCGAGCCGCGUCUACAACCUACACCACAGCUCACGGCAACGCCGGAUCAUUAACCCACUGAGCAAGGGCAGGGACCGAACCCGCAACC
rnacentral:lncRNA from 1 species